rnacentral:rRNA from 1 species
GACGAACGCUGGCGGCGUGCCUAAUACAUGCAAGUAGAACGCUGAAGAGAGGAGCUUGCUCUUCUUGGAUGAGUUGCGAACGGGUGAGUAACGCGUAGGUAACCUGCCUGGUGGCGGGGGAUAACUAUUGGAAACGAUAGCUAAUACCGCAUAAAAUGGAUUAUCGCAUGAUAAUCCAUUGAAAGGUGCAAAUGCAUCACUACCAGAUGGACCUGCGUUGUAUUAGCUAGUUGGUGGGGUAACGGCUCACCAAGGCGACGAUACAUAGCCGACCUGAGAGGGUGAUCGGCCACACUGGGACUGAGACACGGCCCAGACUCCUACGGGAGGCAGCAGUAGGGAAUCUUCGGCAAUGGACGGAAGUCUGACCGAGCAACGCCGCGUGAGUGAAGAAGGUUUUCGGAUCGUAAAGCUCUGUUGUAAGAGAAGAACGAGUGUGAGAGUGGAAAGUUCACACUGUGACGGUAUCUUACCAGAAAGGGACGGCUAACUACGUG